AUUGAACGCUGGCGGCAGGCCUAACACAUGCAAGGCGAACGGUAACAGGAAACAGCUUGCUGUUUCGCUGACGAGUGGCGGACGGGUGAGUAAUGUCUGGGAAACUGCCUGAUGGAGGGGGAUAACUACUGGAAACGGUAGCUAAUACCGCAUAACGUCGCAAGACCAAAGAGGGGGACCUUCGGGCCUCUUGCCAUCGGAUGUGCCCAGAUGGGAUUAGCUAGUAGGUGGGGUAACGGCUCACCUAGGCGACGAUCCCUAGCUGGUCUGAGAGGAUGACCAGCCACACUGGAACUGAGACACGGUCCAGACUCCUACGGGAGGCAGCAGUGGGGAAUAUUGCACAAUGGGCGCAAGCCUGAUGCAGCCAUGCCGCGUGUAUGAAGAAGGCCUUCGGGUUGUAAAGUACUUUCAGCGGGGAGGAAGGGAGUAAAGUUAAUACCUUUACUCAUUGACGUUACCCGCAGAAGAAGCACCGGCUAACUCCGU
rnacentral:rRNA from 1 species